UCUCUCUCUCUCUCUCUCUCUCUCUCUCUCUCUCUCUCUCUCUAUCUCUCUCUCUCUCUCUCUCUCUCUCUCUUCAUAUUCACACAGGAUCUAUCUGAUGCCUCACUCCCUCUGAGAGCAUCUGCCACAAAUUUCCUUCAAACUUGUUGAAGUGUGAAGACUUUUGUGAAGAAAAUGCAUGAGUGAAAUUUGAAGGUCCUAAAAGCUGAGGAAGAUGGAAGGAUGAGAUGGAGUACACACAUGUACUAUAACAUAUCAUUCCAUCUUGGCCUUCCUCUGCUAUCAGGACCUUCAACCUCACUCAUAUACAUUUUCUUUACCAACUUUCCAUGCUUCAUCAAGCAUAUCAAUGAUACACUUGUAGGAAUGAAAAGUUAAAUAAAUCUGUUUGCAGAUAAUAUUAAAAGAAAUAACAAGCCACAAUAAAAUAAAAUAUCAGUCCUGUAAAGUUAUAUGAAUGAGCUCUAUGGGUGGAGCAAAAGAUAAGAAAUUAAAUUAAAUGUGUGUGCAAAGUGUCAUAUAAUGGGAAAAGGAAAGGGAAAUAAUAUACCUAAAUGGACAUAUGAUAUAGGAAAUAAAGAAAUAACAAAGGUACAGUAAAAUCCCUCUUAUCCGGCAUCAGCAGGACCACCGACAUGCCGGAUACUUGAAUAUUGCCGGAUACUUGAAUAGAAGUGAAAUUAUGUCCACAAUCACCACCCUACACUCACGCAUCUUACCAAAACAAAGAUCAGCUGAUCUUAAUCAGCAGCUGAUCUGAUCAGCUGCUUAAGUGUAAGCACAACACGCUUCCUCUUUUCUACAACUUUAGGCAUGAUGAAGGCAUCAGGCAAUAAACAGUGCACACGCGGGACUGAGUCACUGAGUAAACACAGUGCAAUGGGCUGCAGAUGGCACAAAGCAGUGCGCUCUGGUGGCGAAGGGACAAAGUAUGGCUCACGCGGGAAUUUUAAUUGAUUUUAUGAGUACACAUUGAUUUUUUAUUGAUUUUAAGGUUCGGGGAAAAAUGUGCCGGAUACUUGAAGCUGCCAGAUACUCGAAUGCCGGAUAAGAGGGAUUUUACUGUACCUGAAGAAAAGACCUGGGAAUGGUAACACAGAAUAAUCUGCAACCAGAAAGGUAAAUAUACAGAAAAGUUUUUGAAGACAUAUACAGGACACUAAAAAAUAUUGGAGUCGCAUCUCACAGAACUGCAUUGAUCAGACCAAAAAUGGAAUAUGCUGCAGUGGUAUGGUCCCCACACAAGAGAGAACAAGAAUCAAGAUGGUACUUGAGCCAGGAGAAUUAACUUAUGAAGAAUAGUUAAAAGAAACAGUUACUAACACAGGAGCAAAGAAGAAAGAGAAGACUUGACAGCAAUUGAUUGAGAUAAUGAAAGAUUAUAAAACAUUAAAUUAUCUGGGCAUACAAAAAAAAAAUCAAAGAGGGAAGAUGCAUGAGUAAUAUAAGUGUAGUUUUACACUUGAGAGAGUAGAGACUACCAUAGUCUUCCCUGAAAAUCUCUCACCCACACCCUACUCACCUCUUAGUAGUUUGAAAUGCACACACUUGACGCAACCGUAUUCUGAGUGAGUGAGUGAGAGUACUUUGAGAUAAUCAUGCCAAAAACAAGUAGAGGAGGAUAUCACCAAGGUGUAGAAGUGGGCAGACACACAAUCUCCUAUCCAGGCCAGCUGCUAGUGCAACCCUCCCAUACAGAUGUGGUGUUAAUAAGGGAUCACCAAGGACCACGAGGGAUGCCCAAGAGUGACUGCCAAGGGAUGCCCAUGAGGGGCCACCAGGGACACCCAGGAACACCCAACUACCUAUGUGAAGGGACUUCCAGGGACCUGUAGGGACACCACAUAGGUUAUUCCUCUCACCCUCACCACCACUGGUGAGACCAGGUGGCCACCAGUGGCCACUCACCCUAGACCCUGGACCUGCCUGAGAGGGAAGUUGUUGGCUUGCCCAUCCACUCCCCAUUACUACUGAUCAGAUAAGCAUGAACAGGAUCUCUGAGUUCUUUAGGCUAGUUAGGCAGGUUCCACCUCAUGGUAAUUAACAAGAGGAGGAAGUGAUAGACAGGGAUCCUCCUCAGCCUGACCAGUGUUAAGACUUGCAUCUUGUAAGUAGUUAAAAGUAAAGAUAUGUAUUUUU